CGGCAUUAAUAUCAACAAGGUUGCUCCUCCUUUUUGGGGAAUCAUCGCCAUUGAAGAAACUGUCGCGUGUCUCUAGGACAGCUUUGUGCCGUGGCAGUGUACGUUUUCUCACUUACGCUGGGCAAGACCAGGGGCCACUUACUCUUGCAAGCCUGGGAUUCAAAAGCGAGUUUGAAAGAACAGACAAGAUCAAAACAAAUAAACAUGAAAAAGCGAAGCUUAAUUCAGCUAUUGAAGUUCCCAAGAGUAAAGUGAAGGCGGUUGGAAGGAAUGGAACUAGAGCUGUUGGUGUUAAAAAAUCGCUUGAAAUAGAGUCAGCUCCAUUUGCUGCAAAAUCAUUUUCUGAGCUUGGUAUCCCACCUUUGUUGCUAGAAAGUUUGGAGAAUGAAGGCUUCAAAGUUCCAACAGAGGUUCAAUCUGCAGCUAUCCCCACUAUUCUCAAGAAUCAUGAUGUUGUCAUACAGUCUUAUACAGGGUCAGGUAAAACGUUGGCGUAUCUCCUUCCUAUACUGUCUGAAGUUGGACCAUUGGCAAAUAAAUCUUCUAAUGGUGAUGAAGUAUCUGGGAAGAAAUCGGAGAUAGAAGCAGUUAUUGUUGCUCCUUCUAGGGAGCUGGGUAUGCAAAUUGUGAGGGAGUUUGAGAAGCUGCUGGGACCGGC
rnacentral:misc_RNA from 1 species